ACCAGGUCCCCAAAGGUCUCCACUUCCCUUCCUCUGCCCAGAGAAACCCAGCAACUCACCAGCGUGGGCGCAGCACUGCGUCACUGGAGUUGGCUGGCCGGGGGUGACUUAGUUUUUCGGCUUUCUCAUUGAAACUUCCUGGAAUAAAUCACCGUAGGAUCCUUGGCAGCGCCAGUGGUGGUGGUGGGGUUUGGAGAUAGCUGCUCUGGAGUAAGAAGGGACCAGUCAGAGAGACCCGCAGUACUUUGCCUUGCUGUGGUUCCUCCUCUCCCUUCCAGGUCCCUGGCACUGGCCUCCCCUUCGCCUUGCAGGAGGAAAGCAGAGAGGUCUCCCACGGGUCAAUCAUUAACCACAGCUCUUUCUGCUCAGCAGCCUACUGCAGGACCAGCCCAGCCGCGUUUCUGACUCAACACAGAGAUUGUGGCAGGAAAACGAUAGGCCGCGCCUCCCUCCUCACCCUUGCAACAGCCUCCAAGCCAGCCUUUGAGGUUUUUUGGGACCAGCCAGCCUACGGAAUAGGUGUGACACCUGAGAAGCUGGAUGGUGCUCCUGGCCUUGGAGAAAGAGACAAACAAAACAAAACAAAACAAAACAACAACAAAAAAGUCACCAGGUUCCCACUGUUUCAGGUGAUGGAGGUGGCUUGCUUUGUAGGACUAGUUUGGCUGUGGCUUGUCCUAGAUGGCAGGGGAACAAGCAUUCUCCCAGUAGUGCCAGACUGUGAGAUACCCAGGUAUUUGCAAUGAAUUACUACUGCCUUGAAGUCAGCAGCCACCAGGCUAAUAAGAUCCCCUUUGAGGACUGGCUUGGCUCCAAGCCUCCUAGUGUCUUGCACAGUGCUCUCCCUGCUUAACCAUCCUGCCCAGGGACCCUAAAGAGCUUGUGUCUGUGUCAUGGAGCCACUCUCUCCCCCAGAGGCAGAACUCACCAGCAGAUGAGAAUGCAUAGGGAUUAGAAAGACAACUGUCCCAGAUGCCAGGCUACUGAACCAAGUCCUGGAGAGGAAGCUGUUUCCCAAACUCAAGUAGCAGAGCAAGAGCCUGCUGCUGUCACAGAGGUCCACUGCUUAAAAAAAAAAAGGGGGUGGGGGGUACUCUUAGAGGCAGUUUCAGCUUCCCAGAGUUAGACAUCUCAUCUUCUAACCUAAAUGGAAAAAUGAGGAUGGGAACAAAACAGAGUGGGCAGAUCUGUGCUUUGAGAGACACCCUACAGUCAAAAUGUGUGCAGACAUUGCUAGAAAGGGGAGGUGGAGAGCUCACCCUAAUCAAACACUACUGUCUAAAGAAGAGGUCCUUUUUAGUCCCUGCCCAUCUUGACAACAGCCCUUCCUUGUCUUCGUCACCAUGCCUAGGUCAACAUUUUAAAGAAGGAAGAUAGACUGAGUCCCCUUCAGGCAUAAAAGAGUGAGUUUUGAAAAUAGAACUUCACUUUGUUGGGUUUUGUCUUUUUUGUUUUUUUGAGAGAGAGUCUCAUGUAGCCCA
rnacentral:lncRNA from 1 species